CGCCGGGUCCGGGCCGUGUGUCCCGCGGACGGCGGAGCUGGGCGGCAGUGUCCGGGCGCGGACGUGGGCAGCAGCGGCCUCGGGACUCGGGAGGGCGCUGCUGUGGGCUCCGCGGCUGCGCUGAGCUAGGUGGCUGCCUCCAUGUCCUCCCUCGAACCAUCUGAUAGUUUUAAGCGGUGACAGGAGCAGAAAAGACCCCUGUAGCGGCGCUUCAUUAAUGUGCCACUUCUUAGCUAUCAUAUGACAAUCGCCUUGGGAGGAGGGGGGGGGAAGGGGGAGGUGCAGGCUGGAGAGGGAGGGACUGAGCAGGCGGAGAGCCUGGCCGGCUCCGGUUUCUUUCAUACCUAUUUACUCGGACACCUUGGCCAAUAGGAACCACUUCCAGCACUAGCCGGGCGCGGGGGAAGAGCCGGGGCCACUGGCAGGGAGCGGGCGCGCUGGCCAGGGCGCGCGGAGCGGAGGUGUGCGGAGGCCGGCGCGGAGCGGGGGAGCCCAGCGACCAUUCACGCGCACAGACGAAGCCGCCGCGCAGAUGAUGCAUGACACGGAAAGUGCCUGGCUGGGGUAUUCUGUUUCCUUCGCGUUGUAUCCGGUGAACCUGGAACCUCCAGCCUUUAAUGGUCCGGGGACGGCGGUGCAGCAGGUGCAGCAGGUGGCUGCGUCGGGAAGCGAUCGCUUCUCGGAAGGCGCCCGGGCGGCCUGAUUGGCGGAGCUGACUUCGGCGAGGUGGGUUCCUUUUCCUUCCUCGCCGACAGUAAGGAGAAGCCCCGUCUUCUCACUGCCCCCCGGCAAGCAGUUUGGGUUUCUUGUGUUUAACGAACACUCUCCAAUACCCAGAGCUUGUCGCGGAUGUCGUUCCGUCGAUCCAUUCUCUUUUCACCAAUUUUCUCUUCCUUUCGUUGCAAAGAAAAAUCAAGCUGCCCACAAGCAGGGUAAAAUGGAUGAGCCCUACCUCUUUCUCCGCGUCUUACACUCCUUACAAAAAACAAAAGGAAACCAGGGCGAAUCACAGGCGUCCUAGGUGCCCUAGGUUUUCGGUGAUCCUCAGCAGCGCAGGUUUUCCUCGGAGUCCGCCUGCCCGCGACCUGUUGAUGACUCGGAGUGGCGGGGCGCCGAGCUCCGCGCCCGAAGUCGGUUAUGUAAACUGCGUGUGUAUUUCGCAUUCUCCUAGCGCUGUCUGGAGGCAAUGUAGAUUUUCUAAAGAUCUAAUGAAUAAACAACCAGCAACUGCUGGCGGUGUAAUUUACAU
rnacentral:lncRNA from 1 species